GAUGAACGCUGGCGGCGUGCUUAACACAUGCAAGUCGAACGAUGAAGCCCAGCUUGCUGGGUGGAUUAGUGGCGAACGGGUGAGUAACACGUGAGUAACCUGCCCUUAACUCUGGGAUAAGCCUGGGAAACUGGGUCUAAUACCGGAUAGGAGCGUCCACCGCAUGGUAGGUGCUGGAAAGAUUUAUCGGUUUUGGAUGGACUCGCGGCCUAUCAGCUUGGUGGUGAGGUAAUGGCUCACCAAGGCGACGACGGGUAGCCGGGCUGGGAGGGGGACCGGCCACACUGGGACUGAGACACGGCCCAGACUCCUACGGGAGGCAGCAGUGGGGAAUAGUGCACAAUGGGCGAAAGCCUGAUGCAGCGACGCCGCGUGAGGGAUGACGGCCUUCGGGUUGUAAACCUCUUUCAGUAGGGAAGAAGCGAAAGUGACGGUACCUGCAGAAGAAGCACCGGCUAACUACGUGCCAGCCGCCGCGGUAA
rnacentral:rRNA from 1 species